rnacentral:rRNA from 1 species
CCUACGGGUGGCUGCAGUGGGGAAUAUUGCACAAUGGGGGAAACCCUGAUGCAGCGACGCCGCGUGAGUGAUGAAGUAUUUCGGUAUGUAAAGCUCUAUCAGCAGGGAAGAAAUAGCGACCUUUGGGUCGCCAGACGGUACCUGACUAAGAAGCACCGGCUAACUACGUGCCAGCAGCCGCGGUAAUACGUAGGGGGCAAGCGUUAUCCGGAUUUACUGGGUGUAAAGGGAGCGUAGACGGCAGCGCAAGUCUGAAGUGAAAUGCCGGGGCUUAACCCCGGAACUGCUUUGGAAACUGUGCAGCUAGAGUACAGGAGAGGUAGGUGGAAUUCCUGGUGUAGGGGUGAAAUCCGUAGAUAUUAGGAGGAAUACUAGUGGCGAAGGCGGCUUACUAGACUGUAACUGACGUUGAGGCGCGAAAGCGUGGGGAGCAAACAGGAUUAGAUACCCCAGUAGUC